rnacentral:rRNA from 1 species
AGAGUUUGAUCAUGGCUCAGGACGAACGCUGGCGGCGUGCUUAACACAUGCAAGUCUACGAGAAAGAGGUAGCAAUAUCUUUAGUAAAGUGGCGCACGGGUGAGUAACACGUAAGUAAUCUACCCUUAGAUCUGGGAUAACCCCGAGAAAUCGGGGCUAAUACCGGAUGAUGCAGCGGCACCAUAAGGUGAUGUUGUUAAAGUUGCUUCGGUAACGUCUAUGGAUGAGCUUGCGUCUGAUUAGUUAGUUGGUAAGGUAAUGGCUUACCAAGGCUACGAUCAGUAGCUGGUCUGAGAGGAUGAUCAGCCACACUGGAACUGAGACACGGUCCAGACUCCUACGGGAGGCAGCAGUGAGGAAUAUUGGGCAAUGCCCGAAAGGGUGACCCAGCAACGCCGCGUGGAGGAUGAAGGCCGUAAGGUUGUAAACUCCUGUGGGAGGGGAAGAACAGCUAUAAUUCGCAAGGGUUAUGGUUUGACUGUACCCUCAGAGGAAGCCCCGGCUAACUACGUGCCAGCAGCCGCGGUAAUACGUAGGGGGCUAGCGUUGUCCGGAUUCACUGGGUGUAAAGGGCGCGCAGGCGGGUCGGCAAGUCGGUGGUGAAAUCCUACAGCUUAACUGUAGAACUGCCAUUGAUACUGCUGAUCUUGAGUGCGGAAGAGAGAAGCGGAAUUCCAGGUGUAGUGGUGAAAUACGUAGAUAUCUGGAAGAACACCAGUUGCGAAGGCGGCUUCUUGGUCCGUUACUGACGCUCAGGCGCGAAAGCGUGGGUAGCAAACAGGAUUAGAUACCCUAGUAGUCC